UUAAAUCAAAUUUGUAUGGAGUUGGAACGUUCGCCAACGUUUGCCGCUAGGGGCGCUGUUUCAACUGCAUACUAAUUUGAGCUA
rnacentral:pre_miRNA from 1 species